AUGGUCCGGCUCUCUGAAACGAGGUGGGACGAAGCCCCACACUCAGAGGCGCCGCCCGGGUCGGGCCCACCGGGAGGCUGGGAGGCUGGACGGCCACUGCAGCACUCGACGACGGCCCGGCUCCUGGAGCAGGGAAGCGCCCCUGCAGGGACGGUUGUCCAGGUGGCCCACUGCGCCGGUGCUCCGGUCGGGCUCCGACCGCUCACUGGGGUGAUUUAUACGCGGUGCCAGCCCCCAGGGAGCGGCUGCAGCGCUGCGGAAGCUCCUCGGACUCUCCGUCCCAUCCUCCGGCGUCCGACAGCGGGGCCGCUCCCAGGCCGGGUCCCAAGGGCCGCGCGGCCGGGCUCGCGUCGGGUCAGGCCCCGCUGGCCCCCCCUCCCCUCCCCUCCCCUCCUCCCCUCCCUCCCCUCCCCUCCCCUCCCCUCCCGUCCGCCCCCCUCUUCCCCCUCCCCUCCCCGCCCCCUGGGGCCGGCCGCGUGGGCGGGGUGGUGCGCGCCCGCACUUCCGAGGAGCGGGGAGCGGGGAGCGGGGAGCGGGGAGCGGGAGCCAGAGCGCUGCCCGGGGCGCCCGCACCCGCCGUCAUGGCCCGGGCCGCGCUGCCCGCCGUCCUGCUGCCGCUGCUGGGCCUGGCCGCCGCCGCCGCCGCGGGUGAGCUGCCCCUGCCCCCCCGACCCCGACCCCGACCCCGACCCCGACCCCCGCGGCCGCCCUCACCCCCGCGCAGCGGUGACCGUCCGGCCGCCGAUGGCCUCGCCCCCCCCCGUCCGCGCCCCCGGGGAAGGGCUCCCCGAGCGCCCGAGCGCGCCGCCGGCCCGUAGAGCUGCGAGAGCCCGGGCCCCGGUGCGGUCGGCGGCGUCGGGGCUGCGGGGGGCGGCUGCGGGGGGCGGGGGCCGCGGGGGGCGGGGGCCGCGGGGGGCCGUGCGCGCUGUGGAAGCAGGAGAGCGGUGCAGCCCCCCUCCCGCCCGGAGCCGGGGGGCAGGCGAGGCCGAGGCCGAGGCCGGCCCCCCCCUCCCUCCCGCCCGCGUCCUGUGA
rnacentral:lncRNA from 1 species